UUGAAUUCGCAAAUGAGUUCUUGCCUGUAUUGGAGAAGGCCCUCAUAAUUGAUUACAAACCGACUUCUGUCAAUUAAUGGUGGACUAUGGAGAACCUGGGGGAGCUUUUCUCAAUUCUCAUCAUCAAUAUCCUUGUACUGUUUCUCAGAGAAUUCCAUUUGAUUCUACAAUAUACACUUUGUGUUGAAUAAGUCGGUUCUGCUUGGUUUCCUUGUUGAGAAUAAAUUGAGUUUCCUGUAACUGCAGUUGUAAUAACUUUGAACUUUUUUUUGUUCGUAUCAGAAUUACGUUUCCAAAGACUCCUAUACUGUCUGCUAUCUGUGCAUAUAAGCUCCAGUAGAAGCUGCGAGUGCGUAUUUUUCCUUUUAACCUUUUGAGCAUCAUGAUUGUGAUCAAUUGCGGUCUAAAAUUUAUGAUCCUAUUAUAUAUCUAUGUGCAUUACCUAUUACUUGUCUAGUUGUCUAAUAAAGCGUCUAACAUGGUAUUCCCAGAUGCAUUUUCCGUUCGCUGCUUGGAAGCUGCUGGACGAGAAAUUAACAUGUUUAUGUGACCAUGUCCUUCAGGAAAACACAAACUCAACGAUCUCUGUUUUCUGCAGAUUUACUGUACUGCUGAAACCAAUCGCUCUUAUCCUACUUUAGCAUGUUUUACGUGGUCUGUGGACUGUGGUAAUACCAACCGUGCCAUGCGUAUGAAUUUGGGCUUGACACUUGACAUGAACCAUAUAUUUUGUUCUUUUCGACAGCUUAAAACACUUACACGUUUAAACACCGAAAGCUGAACUUCUAAUGUUUGCUUGUUUGAGCUGCAACUUUUGGACUUUUCUGUAAAGCCGGUGCUACUUUUUUUUUAUGAAAGGCCAACCAUAACUUUUAGAAUAUGCGUUUAGGUUUUUGUACCAAAAAGCUACGAAAAGCUCAGAAAAUUGAGCUUUUCAGCUUUCAAUAUAAACUCAGGUUUUCUAAACUUCUAACUUUUUGAAAGCUGCAUGAGAAGUUUCUUGUUUGUUUGAGUUUCUAGCUUUUGACACUGAGAAGUUGUCAGGAAGCACAAACAAAUAAGGUCUAAAAAUCAUAAUACACUGCUUCAGAUGUGAGCUACCAAGAAUCUCUGCAUUAUGAAACCUGGUGACGACAAUAGCAUAUUGUUGAAUUAGUACGAGUGAGCACUUCCACAGUUCGUUCUAAAGAAAAGCACUUCCACAGUUCCAAGCAUGUCCUGAGCUGACGAAUUCACCUACCUCGGCAUGGAAUGGCCCGUAGACUUUCACUCGAGUAAUAAUUUUUUUUAAAAGGGGAGAGCUUAUACUAAAUUAACAAAACAUGUUUACAAUCAAAAUCUAAAACUGCCGACGCGCAGGCCAAGACACCUUAAGAAACAAAAUCAGAUGAGAGCUCUCUCCUACCAAGCUGUCCUAGUUCAUGAGCCACUCCAUUUGCACUUCGAUCGCACUUUAAAACUUUGAAACACUGGAACAUUCUCAGCAUUUUUUUACUUCUUCAAUGAUGAUGGAGCUAGGGGAUCGAUUUAGAGUACCGUCAUUGAACGCUUGUACUGUGAGGCAGUCCAGCUCCAGCCAAAUAGGUCCCAUGAAAACAGAGCAGGCUCUGUUGAUGCCUAUCAAGGCUGCAAGACAUUCAACUUCUUCAGCCGAAGAGCAUAAGCGAUCGCCGCACCAACCUGAAAAGGCAACUUCACCCAAGUGAUUCCUAGCAAUAAAACCUAGACCAGGAUGUUGUGUGUUAGGAUCAAAGCCAGCAUGUCGUGUGCAGGAAUCCGCCGCCAGGCGGUGGUGCCCAUGCCAUGAGCAGGCCAGCAACUUCGAAGGAAACAUGCUGCAAAGCCAAAGGAAUAUGUAUCUCGGCAUAUGUGGCAGUCGGCCCGCGAAACAUUGCGAACCAUGAAAACCGUUCAACCCGGCGGUUCCGAACCGCCUAGCUGGCUCCCUCAUGGUUUGGUUGGGUUUUAACCAAUAACCGGUGAAACCGGACCAUGUACAGGGCUUACCUUUGGGUUUCUCGCGGCCGGCGUUAGGUAGGCGGCCGUCCUACUCGCCACUGAAUAUGAUUGUCUAGAAACUAUUUUAUUAAAAGAAAAAUAUAUGAGAUGCAAUAAUUACUUAAGUAGAAGCAAGUACUACCCAUAUUUGAUGUUGGGUAGUUCAAAAAUAAACUAAGCAAUGUGUGCGUUCGGAGUCAAACGACCUGUUCAGCUGGACUUAUAAGCCGGCUGAAAAGCUGAAACGGCUGAUUUGUUGUGAGAGAAAAACACUGUUCGGUGGCUGAUAAGCCGGCUGAUAGGUUGAAGCGAACAGGCUUAAAGAAUUUUAUCAAACGUCUUCACCUUGGUAUUACUAAAAUCCUCCCCCCAUCUUUAAAUAUAAGAUGUUAGUAAUUGUCCUUAACAUCAUAUAACGGAGGGAGGAGGGAGGUAGUCUGUGCGAUGGACCACCCGAUCCGACCCGCACAAGUUCAGGCUGGAACCGGAUCCGGCCAGUUCGCUGCAGGUCAACUCACGAUGAUCCUAGAAUCGUCCACCUCGUGAUCGGCGAAUCCGCUGUCUACGCGCUAAACUGCCCGGGAGUAACGAUCCGGUCACCAAAUCAUCUCAGCUCGAGCAAUUCGCUCUCACCACGUAUAAAGCAGUGGCCAAGAAGCCAAGCCAAGCAGCAGCAGAGCAUCCUACCUACCACGACCAAACAGAGGAGGUGAGGGGCCUCGAGCGAAGAAGCCCGGAGGCAUGGCGGCUGGUGGCGGCGGCGGCGUGGUGAAGCACAUCCUGCUGGCGCGCUUCAAGGAGGACGUGACGCCGGAGCGAUUGGACCAGCUCAUCCGGGGCUACGACAGGCUCGUGGGCGUUGUCCCCCCCAUGAAGGCCUUCCACUGGUAAAGCGCGCUGCACCCACCUACCCACCUCCAGGACGACUUGAGAUCUCAACACGAUUCCAUUGCUGGCUGUUCACUGUUGUGUAUGCGGUAUGCCUCUGCUUCCUGUGGGCGAUUAGUAUCUACCUGUUUGGGCGCCGUCCCUGUGAGACUCCGUGAGGACUACGCACCCAAGGUGCUCGAGGAAUUGGCUGACUGCCUGGCUUAGUUUAUCUUGACUGAAACAUGAUUUGGCAUUUUGUGUUUCCCCGUGCACGAUCAGUGACUGCGAUCGAUGGCCCUGUGAUUUCUCCUAGUUCCCUGGUCCAGAUAUCCAUAGCUGAUUUAACUAAAUAAUAGCCAAACCAGCAUGUACUACUAGGUGCCUACCACCUCUAUUUCUUAUCCCAGAGCAUAUUACAACGAACAAUAUUGAUAUUUUCUAGGGAGAGAUUUACAUGUAUUCUCCAGACAACAGUCUUAUCUAUUUGUCAAAUUCAAAAAGUUUGUGCAUCUGCAAGAUCAUAUGAAAGUGAAAUUGCGAAAAAGUUAUAGUAGUAGUCUCAUUGUUUCACGCAUGAUUGCUACUCCGUUGUUUCAAGCUGUACGCUUCCUUAUGUGCACUUUGAUUUGCAGGGGAACUGAUGUGAGCAUAGAAAACAUGCAUCAAGGGUUCACGCAUGUCUUUGAGUCCACAUUCGAAAGCACAGAAGGAAUCAAGGAGUACAUUGAGCACCCUGCACAUGUUGAAUUCGCAAAUGAGUUCUUGCCUGUAUUGGAGAAGGCCCUCAUAAUUGAUUACAAACCGACUUCUGUCAAUUAAUGGUGGACUAUGGAGAACCUGGGGGAGCUUUUCUCAAUUCUCAUCAUCAAUAUCCUUGUACUGUUUCUCAGAGAAUUCCAUUUGAUUCUACAAUAUACACUUUGUGUUGAAUAAGUCGGUUCUGCUUGGUUUCCUUGUUGAGAAUAAAUUGAGUUUCCUGUAACUGCAGUUGUAAUAACUUUGAAC
rnacentral:lncRNA from 1 species